UACGAAGGGGGCUAGCGUUGCUCGGAAUCACUGGGCGUAAAGGGCGCGUAGGCGGAUCUUUAAGUCGGGGGUGAAAGCCUGAGGCUCAACUCCAGAACUGCCUUUGAUACUGGCGAUCUUGAGUCCGGGAGAGGUGAGUGGAACUGCGAGUGUAGAGGUGAAAUUCGUAGAUAUUCGCAAGAACACCAGUGGCGAAGGCGGCUCACUGGCCCGGUACUGACGCUGAGGUGCGAAAGCGUGGGGAGCAAACAGG
rnacentral:rRNA from 1 species